UUUGCUGAAUGAUUUGAUCUCAAAAUUCAAAAUAUUUCAAAUAGAUUUUUAAAUGGUUUUGAAAUAGGUUUUGAAUUAAAAGAAAAAGAAAAAAACAAAAGAAAAGGGAAAACUUUCUAGGGAAGCCUUUGUUAGUUCAAACUUCAAAGAGAGAAAUACAGGCAGACCAGGUUUGCUCGAAUAUUAAUCUGGUCAUAAGCAAGGAGAACUUCACAGUAAACCUCAUUGUGCUAGAGUCAAUCAAUAUUCCUUUGGUUCUUGGUAAUGGAUGGUUAUGUGCACACAAGGCAAUGAUCUAUGCUACCCAGUGGAAACUUUUCUUAACCGCACCAUCAGGGAAAAGAAUUGAGUAUCAGGGUGGUCCACUCCUACCUGAGGAGGCAUAUCCAUGCUAAGUUAUCAUGUCUUUGAGUUGCAUAAGUCAAAAAGUUGGUAGUCAGAAUGGACCUUGAUCAAUUACGAAUAAUAGACAUUUUAUGAAAGUUUUGUUCACAAGUUGUGAUACCGAGACAUGAGUGUUUGUUUUUGGAAUGCAAGUGGUGAAGUUGAAAUAAUUAUCAAUAUCUUUUUCCUGUUUCUCUUUUGGAAUCCGUGCCUCUUCCGAAUCUCGAGGACGAGACUCAUUUUAAGGGGGUAGAUUUGUAACAUCCAAAAAUUUACAACUUUUGAAAUAAGUCUAAAAUAAUUAAAUUUUGAAUUUUUGGUGCUCAUGAAACAUAGGAAAAUAAUAUUUUUAUUAAAUUAAAAUUUAUUAUAGGAUUUAGUAACAUGAAUGUGCAUUCAUGCUGGAGAAUUCAUUUUUUUGUUUGCUGAAUGAUUUGAUCUCAAAAUUCAAAAUAUUUCAAAUAGAUUUUUAAAUGGUUUUGAAAUAGGUUUUGAAUUAAAAGAAAAAGAAAAAAAACAAAAGAAAAGGGAAAACUUUCCCCAUCGGCAUUCUAGCCUGAAGGCCCAGUCCUUCUCCUCCCUUUUUCCCCUGGCCCCCUUUCUCUCCUUCCGCCCGGGCCCAGAACGCGCGCGGCCUGCUUCCCUUCCCCGCGGCCCAGCCACUGGCCCGCUCAAACCACAGACGGGCGCGCCUCUCCCCCCCUCUCUCUUUUCUUUUGACUGACCGACGGGCCCUCCCUUCCCUGCCGCUGACGGCUGGGGCCCACACGUCAGCUCCUGUCUCCUUCUUCCCAACGUGGCCGAGCCGGGCUCUUCACCGCACCGGACACGAUUUGAUUCCGAAAUCGACGGGAUCUUCUUGCCCACACGCGCAACUGAGCACUAUUUAGGCUCCUAGCCCCGCCCCGCACGCGUUUUUUUAUCUAAAGCGCCCGAGAAGCCCUAGCCGCCACCGACGUCGAGGAGUGGAUCUCGCCGAAGCUUUCCACACGUGGCCGCAUCCUUCCCAGCCCUCUCGGGUCGCGUUAAGAGCACCGGUGAGCUCGUAGUAAGCUUCUCCACCUCCCCACGUUUUUAUUUUGUUUUUUGGGCGUCAGCAUCGCCGUUUCUAGCAACUCCGGUGAGCUUUUGGACCUCCGUCAAUGGCGCCACCGCGCCGCCGUCAGCCACCACUCAGCCUCCCUGGAUUCUCCUGAGCCGUCGAAUCAAGAUUG
rnacentral:lncRNA from 1 species